UCACUAGGUUGCAUGCCCCAUUAGUCCACUGGCUCUGAGCCCAGGAGAGGACUAGGACUUGCCUGGGAGUUACAGUCCUUGUGGGCUAGACUGCCCUUCAAGUUUAUUUAGGACCCUAGAACACUUGAGUCCAUGGUGGGGUGCUGGCUGAGUUCUGCCUGGUUUUGGCAGCACUGCAUCCUAAGGCAAAGUCCCCAAAUUGGUGCUAUUUUCCUCCUCUAAGCACACAGAUUCUCCAUGCUAUGUGGUCACUUCUAGCGGAUGGGAGAGGAGAGGUGUAGGCAAUUCAAGACUGUCUUUUCUACCCUCUUCAGUGCCUAUUUCUAGUGAUAUUAAAUUAAAACUAGGAACUGUGAUCACUCAUC
rnacentral:lncRNA from 1 species